rnacentral:rRNA from 1 species
GAUGAACGCUAGCGGGAGGCUUAACACAUGCAAGUCGAGGGGCAGCACGGGGUAGCAAUACUCUGGUGGCGACCGGCGCACGGGUGAGUAACGCGUAUGCAACCUGCCCUGUACCGGAGGAUAACCCGGAGAAAUUCGGACUAAUACUCCAUAAUGAUAUCGAGAGGCAUCUUUUGAUAUUUAAAGUUUCGACGGUACGGGAUGGGCAUGCGCAACAUUAGCUGGUUGGUAGGGUAACGGCCUACCAAGGCUUCGAUGUUUAGGGGACCUGAGAGGGUGAUCCCCCACACUGGUACUGAGACACGGACCAGACUCCUACGGGAGGCAG